UCUCCGUUGGUGAACCAGCGGAGGGAUCAUUGCUGGAACGCGCUUCGGCGCACCCAGAAACCCUUUGUGAACUUAUACCUAUACUGUUGCCUCGGCGCUGGCCGGCCUCCUCACCGAGGCCCCCUGGAGACAGGGAGCAGCCCGCCGGCGGCCAACCAAACUCUUGUUUCUACAGUGAAUCUCUGAGUAAAAAACAUAAAUGAAUCAAAACUUUCAACAACGGAUCUCUUGGUUCUGGCAUCGAUGAAGAACGCAGC
rnacentral:misc_RNA from 1 species